AUAUCUCAAUUUUGGUUGAUUGCUUUAGGCUCAGUUUGGAACCCCGGGAAAGGAAAGGAAAAGAAAAGAAAAUUUAAAAAAUUUCCCUUUAAUUGUUUGGUUGGAAGAGAAAGAGCGAAGAAACUAAGAAUUUCAAGUGCAGUGAAUAGUAAAUUUUCCUGCCCAUUUUCCACCCAUUUUCCUUCUCUUUUAGUUUCGAGUACGGAAAUUUCGGAUGGUGAACAAGUAUUAUUGGAUUUUCGACGCUUUCUUGUACUAUGUUCCAAGGGAAGUAGAGGUGAAUUAUGCACCUAACUAUGCUGGUUGGUGUUCUGUUCCCACUUGCUUGUGGAAGGAUUUUGUUGUUUGGUUAGCUGAAGUGAGGAAAUUGACUUACAAUAUCUAACAUUGAUUUUCAGGAGGAUACAUCCGAGCUAGUCCUAACUCCUAUAUGAGAUUAUAUUGUUGACUAUAUUUAUCUAAUCUUACGAUGGCCAUAAUCGCCUAUGAAGAUGGAUCAUUCGAACAAUAACAGUACCCAUGUAUUCCCAUCUGAUGGGGGUAUGAGGGGUGAGGACUGGUGCCUGACCUACUUUUGUUUUGGCAUUAUAUGCACAAAGGGUUGCUCUCAUAAUAAAAACAUGGAAUGUAACAAGGAACUCGAGGGAUAUUAUAUCAUGGAACCAUGUCCCCAAAUCAACCAAAAAGCAUUGGUAGGCAGACCUAGUGAUCAGUUUCAAUUUAUGUGCUCGUUACCUUGCUUUCUUCAUUCAAUAUUCAGAGCAUUAGUAAUGCACACAAAAAAAAGGGCGUACCUAGUGAACAAAGACGGAAAUCAUGGUGAUGUAAUAAGACUCUUCAUCUACGUUCAGAUUGAGAUGAUUAGUCCAAUUACUUGUGUCUCAAUUUGUUCUUCGAACUAGCCGUCUAGUCUAGUGAUAAGGCCUUCCACUGCUGUUUGUACACAGAAAGGGUCAAUUGCUAUAUUUUAGGGGAACUAAUGAGAUUAAAAUUGAAAACCUUUUCUUUGGAUGCUCAGUUUCUGUAAAGGAGGAUUGAAGGGUCUGAUUUGCUUGAACCCUGGCUUUAUUUAAUGAAAUAUUGAACCUUACGUGGUUUCUUUCUGUUACAGUUUUAUUUUAGUAUGUUUGGGAUUUCUUUAGGCCUGAUUGUUUUGAUGUUAGUAUAACUCACAGCAGCUAAGUAUGCAGUUAAAGUGCUACUCUAUCCACCUCUAGUCAAAGGGAGGGAUGUAGUGUAUGAUAUAUCUCUACAAUAUGCAUAAGUUCUCUACCUGUAAGGCUGUAAUGUAUUUUUCUCACAUUUUCUGUCCUACAACACAUGCAAGAUCCUGUAAGUAAUGUGUCUAGACAGUGAGAAGUUGGCUUACGAUCCUCAGUGAUGGUUGGGAGCCUUGCAUUGUGAACCGAUGCAUUGUUGUGGCAAAUGAACCCACAAUUGAGGUAUUCUGUCCUGUUCUGCUCACAUGCAAGUUGGAGUCGUUGUGAAUUGAUACAUGAAGGGUCUGAAGAGGCCAUUAUAGCGGGAGCAAUGAUACCCUGACGGUACCAGUCAAUCCUUAACCUUUCUUGAACAAUUUGAUUGGAAAGAGGGUCAUUGUGAAACUCAAGUGGGGAAUGGAAUACAAAGGGUUGAGUUUUUCAAUGGUUGUUUGUUUCUGUACAUUUAAGUGAAUGUAUUUUCCUUUUCCUAUAUGUUUUCCUACUCUGGAGGUAUUAAGUCGUGAAUGCAUGCAUGUGUGGGUAUUCUUGAAAGCAUGUGAAUCGUUUGUUUCAUAUAAUGGGAUGAUUUACAGUUCCUCUGCUACCAUGUUGACAUGUUGUAUGGCUUAUGUGUUGUAAGAUUGUAUCAUGCUAUAAUAUCGUUACUGUUGAAGCAUAUUUAAUUAGUUUAGUGGAAGUUAAAACUACUUAUUCUUUUUUUGUUCUCAUGAUUCAUGUCAUGACAAUGCCUUGGCUAAGAAUUGUAUUUAGCUAAUUCUUCCUUAGCAUUUAUUCCGUUCGCUUGAAUCUUCCCAUGUCUAGCCCUUGAUCGAUGAAAGUGAGAUGGAUGAGGUUUAGAUAGCCAUAGAUCGGUAAUAUCCACCUUACUUGGACAAGUUUGUGUAUUACGAUUUCAUAUUUGUUGAUUGAAUCUAUUUGUGCAUGUGUGGUGUUGUUCUAAGAAUAGAUGGAUGUAGGUGUGCGUUUAGACAAACUGAUGGUUUAUAUUCAAAAGCAAUGAAAUUUUUGCUGUUAUUUUACAUUGGCUUUGGAUGUUCUGGUUCUUCUCAAUUCGAUUUGAAGUGCUUUGAGGCAUCAUAUUAUCUCCCUCUGAGAUAGGGGCAAGACUUUGACGCUACUUUAAUUGCUUAGGUCUCUCAGAUUCUGAAAUACUGUUAUUCUAGAUGUUUGGCGGUUGUUCUUCAAGGUGGAAAUAUAGGUCUCGUAGGAGGAAGUGUGCAUAUUUUUGAUGAGGUAUUAUAGUUGCCCAGAAUAAUAAAUAACACGUUUUCUUACCAUGACGGUUGUGGUUACAAACUUGCCCAUGGUUUGGGAAAUCAAUGUUUCUAAACUGAAUUUUGUGCAUCCAUUUAACCAAUUUUGCAGUGAUAUGUAAAGAGGAAAAGAGAUGCUUAGUCUUUUGCCUACAUCUUUGUGUCACACGCAUGGAACUGUAAAGUAUUCUUUUGCUUGACUUUUGAUGCUCCUAUUGGUAUAGCAGUAGUGUUUUUAUUAGUUUUGCGUUACUUAUAUUGUUUUUGUAGGACUGUUUAAUCGUGUUCCGUGGUUGGAGUUCAACAUCGAAUAGUGAUAUAAUAUCAUUUGCUUGGGGAAAAUGAAACAGAUCCUUAAGCUGGGUUUCCCCUGCAUGUUUUGUAUUACCUUUUAAUUUCUUUACAGAGAGGAUCUAUUUAGUCA